rnacentral:rRNA from 1 species
CCUACGGGUGGCAGCAGUGGGGAAUAUUGCACAAUGGGGGGAACCCUGAUGCAGCGACGUCGCGUGAGUGAAGAAGUAUUUCGGUAUGUAAAGCUUCAUCAGCAGGGGAGUAAAUGACGGUACCUGACUCAGAAGCCCCGGCUAACUACGUGCCAGCAGCCGCGGUAACACGUAGGAGGCCAGCGUGAUCCGGAUUUACUGGGUGUAAAGGGAGCGUAGACGGCAGAGCAAGUCUGAAGUGAAAGCCCGCGGCCCAACUGCGGGACUGCAUUGGAAACUGCCCGGCUAGAGUGCUGGAGAGGUAAGCGGAAUUCCUGGUGUAGCGGUGAAAUGCGUAGAUAUUAGGAGGAACACCAGUGGCGAAGGCAGCUUACUGGACAGUAACUGACGUUGAGGCUCGAAAGCGUGGGGAGCAAACAGGAUUAGAUACCCCAGUAGUC